rnacentral:snoRNA from 1 species
AUAGUCGAUGACGAAGACCUAAUCUCGUACAUCGUCGCCAGCCUUGAUGAAGACUACGACCCUGUCGUCUCCUCUCUAGUCGGGAGGCUGGAUCCGGUCACAAUCAGUGACGCAUAUGCGCAGCUCCUAAGCUUUGAAC